GAGUUUGAUCUUGGCUCAGAACGAACGCUGGCGGCAGGCUUAACACAUGCAAGUUGAACGCGUGUAGCAAUACACGAGUGGCGCACGGGUGAGUAACGCGUGGGAAUAUGCCCUUCAGUACGGAAUAACGUCGGGAAACUGACGCUAAUACCGUAUAAUGUCUACGGACCAAAGAUUUAUCGCUGAAGGAUUAGCCCGCGUUGGAUUAGCUAGUUGGUGAGGUAACGGCUCACCAAGGCGAUGAUCCAUAGCUGGUCUGGGAGGAUGAUCAGCCACACUGGGACUGAGACACGGCCCAGACUCCUACGGGAGGCAGCAGUGAGGAAUAUUGGACAAUGGGGGCAACCCUGAUCCAGCCAUGCCGCGUGAGUGAUGAAGGCCCUCGGGUUGUAAAGCUCUUUUAUCCCUGAAGAUAAUGACGGUAAGGGAAGAAAAAGCCACGGCUAACUUCGUGCCAGCAGCCGCGGUAAC
rnacentral:rRNA from 1 species